UGAACGCUAGCUACAGGCUUAACACAUGCAAGUCGAGGGGCAGCAUGGUCUUAGCUUGCUAAGGCCGAUGGCGACCGGCGCACGGGUGAGUAACACGUAUCCAACCUGCCGUCUACUCUUGGACAGCCUUCUGAAAGGAAGAUUAAUACAAGAUGGCAUCAUGAGUCCGCAUGUUCACAUGAUUAAAGGUAUUCCGGUAGACGAUGGGGAUGCGUUCCAUUAGAUAGCAGGCGGGGUAACGGCCCACCUAGUCUUCGAUGGGUAGGGGUUCUGAGAGGAAGGUCCCCCACAUUGGAACUGAGACACGGUCCAAACUCCUACGGGAGGCAGCAGUGAGGAAUAUUGGUCAAUGGGCGAGAGCCUGAACCAGCCAAGUAGCGUGAAGGAUGACUGCCCUAUGGGUUGUAAACUUCUUUUAUAAAGGAAUAAAGUCGGGUAUGGAUACCCGUUUGCAUGUACUUUAUGAAUAAGGAUCGGCUAACUCCGUGCCAGCGGCCGCGGUAAUACGGAGGAUCCGAGCGUUAUCCGGAUUUAUUGGGUUUAAAGGGAGCGUAGAUGGAUGUUUAAGUCAGUUGUGAAAGUUUGCGGCUCAACCGUAAAAUUGCAGUUGAUACUGGAUAUCUUGAGUGCAGUUGAGGCAGGCGGAAUUCGUGGUGUAGCGGUGAAAUGCUUAGAUAUCACGAAGAACUCCGAUUGCGAAGGCAGCCUGCUAAGCUGCAACUGACAUUGAGGCUCGAAAGUGUGGGUAUCAAACAGGAUUAGAUACCCUGGUAGUCCACACGGUAAACGAUGAAUACUCGCUGUUUGCGAUAUACAGCAAGCGGCCAAGCGAAAGCGUUAAGUAUUCCACCUGGGGAGUACGCCGGCAACGGUGAAACUCAAAGGAAUUGACGGGGGCCCGCACAAGCGGAGGAACAUGUGGUUUAAUUCGAUGAUACGCGAGGAACCUUACCCGGGCUUAAAUUGCAGAUGAAUUACGGUGAAAGCCGUAAGCCGCAAGGCAUCUGUGAAGGUGCUGCAUGGUUGUCGUCAGCUCGUGCCGUGAGGUGUCGGCUUAAGUGCCAUAACGAGCGCAACCCUUGUUGUCAGUUACUAACAGGUUCUGCUGAGGACUCUGACAAGACUGCCAUCGUAAGAUGUGAGGAAGGUGGGGAUGACGUCAAAUCGGCACGGCCCUUACGUCCGGGGCUACACACGUGUUACAAUGGGGGGUACAGAGGGCCGCUACCACGCGAGUGGAUGCCAAUCCCCAAAACCUCUCUCAGUUCGGACUGGAGUCUGCAACCCGACUCCACGAAGCUGGAUUCGCUAGUAAUCGCGCAUCAGCCACGGCGCGGUGAAUACGUUCCCGGGCCUUGUACACACCGCCCGUCAAGCCAUGGGAGCCGGGGGUACCUGAAGUACGUAACCGCAAGGAUCGUCCUAGGGUAAAACUGGUGACUGG
rnacentral:rRNA from 1 species